rnacentral:rRNA from 1 species
GACGAACGCUGGCGGCGUGCCUAAUACAUGCAAGUAGAACGCUGAAGAGAGGAGCUUGCUCUUCUUGGAUGAGUUGCGAACGGGUGAGUAACGCGUAGGUAACCUGCCUUGUAGCGGGGGAUAACUAUUGGAAACGAUAGCUAAUACCGCAUAACAAUGGAUGACACAUGUCAUUUAUUUGAAAGGGGCAAUUGCUCCACUACAAGAUGGACCUGCGUUGUAUUAGCUAGUAGGUGAGGUAAUGGCUCACCUAGGCGACGAUACAUAGCCGACCUGAGAGGGUGAUCGGCCACACUGGGACUGAGACACGGCCCAGACUCCUACGGGAGGCAGCAGUAGGGAAUCUUCGGCAAUGGGGGCAACCCUGACCGAGCAACGCCGCGUGAGUGAAGAAGGUUUUCGGAUCGUAAAGCUCUGUUGUAAGUCAAGAACGGGUGUGAGAGUGGAAAGUUCACACUGUGACGGUAGCUUACCAGAAAGGGACGGCUAACUACGUGCCAGCAGCCGCGGUAAUACGUAGGUCCCGAGCGUUGUCCGGAUUUAUUGGGCGUAAAGCGAGCGCAGGCGGUUUGAUAAGUCUGAAGUUAAAGGCUGUGGCUCAACCAUAGUUCGCUUUGGAAACUGUCAAACUUGAGUGCAGAAGGGGAGAGUGGAAUUCCAUGUGUAGCGGUGAAAUGCGUAGAUAUAUGGAGGAACACCGGUGGCGAAAGCGGCUCUCUGGUCUGUAACUGACGCUGAGGCUCGAAAGCGUGGGGAGCGAACAGGAUUAGAUACCCUGGUAGUCCACGCCGUAAACGAUGAGUGCUAGGUGUUGGAUCCUUUCCGGGAUUCAGUGCCGCAGCUAACGCAUUAAGCACUCCGCCUGGGGAGUACGACCGCAAGGUUGAAACUCAAAGGAAUUGACGGGGGCCCGCACAAGCGGUGGAGCAUGUGGUUUAAUUCGAAGCAACGCGAAGAACCUUACCAGGUCUUGACAUCCCGAUGCUAUUUCUAGAGAUAGAAAGUUACUUCGGUACAUCGGUGACAGGUGGUGCAUGGUUGUCGUCAGCUCGUGUCGUGAGAUGUUGGGUUAAGUCCCGCAACGAGCGCAACCCCUAUUGUUAGUUGCCAUCAUUCAGUUGGGCACUCUAGCGAGACUGCCGGUAAUAAACCGGAGGAAGGUGGGGAUGACGUCAAAUCAUCAUGCCCCUUAUGACCUGGGCUACACACGUGCUACAAUGGUUGGUACAACGAGUUGCGAGUCGGUGACGGCGAGCUAAUCUCUUAAAGCCAAUCUCAGUUCGGAUUGUAGGCUGCAACUCGCCUACAUGAAGUCGGAAUCGCUAGUAAUCGCGGAUCAGCACGCCGCGGUGAAUACGUUCCCGAGCCU